GCUCAGGAUGAACGCUAGCGGCAGGCCUAACACAUGCAAGUCGAACGGUAACAGGGAAGAGCUUGCUCUUUCGCUGACGAGUGGCGCACGGGUGCGUAACGCGUAUACAAUCUGCCGUUAAGCGGGGAAUAGCCCAUGGAAACGUGGAUUAAUACCCCAUAGUAUGUAGACUUCACCUGGAGACUACAUUAAACAUUUAUGGCUUAAAGAUGAGUAUGCGUCCUAUUAGUUAGUUGGUAAGGUAACGGCUUACCAAGACCGCGAUAGGUAGGGGUCCUGAGAGGGAGAUCCCCCACACUGGUACUGAGACACGGACCAGACUCCUACGGGAGGCAGCAGUGAGGAAUAUUGGACAAUGGAGGCAACUCUGAUCCAGCCAUGCCGCGUGCAGGAAGACGGCCCUAUGGGUUGUAAACUGCUUUUAUACGGGAAGAACCACAUCUACGUGUAGAUGCUUGACGGUACCGUAUGAAUAAGGACCGGCUAACUCCGUGCCAGCAGCCGCGGUAAUACGGAGGGUCCAAGCGUUAUCCGGAAUCAUUGGGUUUAAAGGGUCCGUAGGCGGAAUAAUAAGUCAGUGGUGAAAGUCUGCAGCUCAACUGUAGAAUUGCCAUUGAUACUGUUAUUCUUGAAUUAUUAUGAAGUGGUUGGAAUGAGUAGUGUAGCGGUGAAAUGCAUAGAUAUUACUCAGAACACCUAUUGCGAAGGCAGAUCACUAAUAAUAUAUUGACGCUGAGGGACGAAAGCGUAGGUAGCGAACAGGAUUAGAUACCCUGGUAGUCUACGCCGUAAACGAUGGUUACUAGCUGUCCGGCUUAAUUGAGGGCUGGGUGGUUAAG
rnacentral:rRNA from 2 species